GAUGAACGCUGGCGGCGUGCCUAAUACAGGCAAGUCGAGCGAACAGACGAGGUGUUUGCUCCUCUGACGUAAGCGGGGGACGGGGGAUUAACCCGUGGAUAACCUACCUAUAAACCUGGGAUAAUUUCGGUAAACCGGACCUAAAACCGGAUAAGAUUUUGAACCCCAUGGUCCAUUAGUGAAAUAGGGUUUGCUUGUAACUUUUCGAUGGAUCCGCCCCCCAUUACCUAGUUGGGAAGGUCACGGCUUACCAUGGCGACGAUGCGUAGCCGACCUGAGGGGGUGAUCCGCCACACUGGAACUGAGACACGGUCCAGACUCCUACGGGGGGCAGCCGUAGCGAAUCUUCCGCAAUGGGCGCACGCCUGACGGAGCAACGCCGCGUGAGUGAUGCAGGUCUUCGGAUCCUAAAACUCUGUUAUUAGGGAAGAACAAAUGUGUAAGUAACUAUGCACGUCUUGACGGUACCUAAUCAGAAAGCCCCGGCUAACUACGUG
rnacentral:rRNA from 1 species